rnacentral:rRNA from 1 species
AUGAACGCUAGCGGCGUGCCUAACACAUGCAAGUCGAACGUGAGAAGUAUUUCGGUACUUUGAAAGUGGCGGACGGGUGAGUAAGACGUAGGUGACCUGCCUUGAAGAGGGGGAUAACCACUGGAAACGGUGGCUAAUACCGCAUAGGUUGGCUAAGUUGGGAAAGUUGGUCAACAAAGCUGAGGCGCUUGAAGAGGGGCCUACGGCCGAUUAGUUAGUUGGUGGGGUAAAGGCCUACCAAGGCGAUGAUCGGUAGCUGGUCUGAGAGGACGAUCAGCCACACGGGAACUGAGAGACGGUCCCGACUCCUACGGGGGGCAGCAGUGAGGAAUAUUCGGCAAUGGGGGGAACCCUGACCGAGCAACGCCGCGUGGAGGAUGACAGUUUUCGGAUUGUAAACUCCUUUUCUGCGGGAAGAGGAAGGACGGUACCGCAGGAAUAAGUCACGGCUAACUACGU